AUUGAACGCUGGCGGCAUGCCUUACACAUGCAAGUCGAAUGGUAACAGGUCUUCGGAUGCUGACGAGUGGCGAACGGGUGAGUAAUACAUCGGAACGUGCCUAGUAGUGGGGGAUAACUACUCGAAAGAGUGGCUAAUACCGCAUGAGACCUACGGAUGAAAGCAGGGGAUCGCAAGACCUUGUGCUACUAGAGCGGCCGAUGGCAGAUUAGGUAGUUGGUGGGAUAAAAGCUUACCAAGCCGACGAUCUGUAGCUGGUCUGAGAGGACGAUCAGCCACACUGGCACUGAGACACGGCCCAGACUCCUACGGGAGGCAGCAGUGGGGAAUUUUGGACAAUGGGCGAAAGCCUGAUCCAGCAAUGCCGCGUGCAGGAUGAAGGCCUUCGGGUUGUAAACUGCUUUUGUACGGAACGAAAAGCCCUGGGUUAAUACCCUGGGGUCAUGACGGUACCGUAAGAAUAAGGAUCGGCUAACUCCGUGCCAGCCGCCGCGGUAA
rnacentral:rRNA from 1 species